rnacentral:rRNA from 1 species
GAGUUUGAUCGUGGCUCAGAUUGAACGCUGGCGGCAGGCCUAACACAUGCAAGUCGAGCGGUAGAGAGAAGCUUGCUUCUCUUGAGAGCGGCGGACGGGUGAGUAAUGCCUAGGAAUCUGCCUGGUAGUGGGGGAUAACGCUCGGAAACGGACGCUAAUACCGCAUACGUCCUACGGGAGAAAGCAGGGGACCUUCGGGCCUUGCGCUAUCAGAUGAGCCUAGGUCGGAUUAGCUAGUUGGUGAGGUAAUGGCUCACCAAGGCGACGAUCCGUAACUGGUCUGAGAGGAUGAUCAGUCACACUGGAACUGAGACACGGUCCAGACUCCUACGGGAGGCAGCAGUGGGGAAUAUUGGACAAUGGGCGAAAGCCUGAUCCAGCCAUGCCGCGUGUGUGAAGAAGGUCUUCGGAUUGUAAAGCACUUUAAGUUGGGUAGGAAGGGCAGUAAAUUAAUACUUUGCUGUUUGACGUUACCGACAGAAUAAGACACCGGCUAACU